rnacentral:rRNA from 1 species
GAUGAACGCUGGCGGCGUGCUUAACACAUGCAAGUCGAACGAUGACUUCUGUGCUUGCACAGAGUGAUUAGUGGCGAACGGGUGAGUAACACGUGAGUAACCUGCCCUUAACUUCGGGAUAAGCCUGGGAAACCGGGUUUAAUACCGGAUACGACCUCCUGGCGCAUGCCAUGGUGGUGGAAAGCUUUAGCGGUUUUGGAUGGACUCGCGGCCUAUCAGCUUGUUGGUUGGGGUAAUGGCCCACCAAGGCGACGACGGGUAGCCGGCCUGAGAGGGUGACCGGCCACACUGGGACUGAGACACGGCCCAGACUCCUACGGGAGGCAGCAGUGGGGAAUAUUGCACAAUGGGCGAAAGCCUGAUGCACCGACGCCGCGUGAGGGAUGACGGCCUUCGGGUUGUAAACCUCUUUCAGCAGGGAAGAAGCGAAAGUGACGGUACCUGCAUAAGAAGCGCCCGCUAACUACCUGCCAGCAGCCGCGGUAAUACGUAGGGCGCCAGCGUUAUCCGGAAUUUUUGGGCGUAAAGAGCUCGUAGGCGGUUUGUCGCGUCUGCUGUGAAGCCCGGGGCUCAACCCCGGGUCUGCAGUGGGUACGGGCAGACUAGAGUGCAGUAGGGGAGACUGGAAUUCCUGGUGUAGCGGUGAAAUGCGCAGAUAUCAGGAGGAACACCGAUGGCGAAGGCAGGUCUCUGGGCUGUAACUGACGCUGAGGAGCGAAAGCAUGGGGAGCGAACAGGAUUAGAUACCCUGGUAGUCCAUGCCGUAAACGUUGGGCACUAGGUGUGGGGGACAUUCCACGUUUUCCGCGCCGUAGCUAACGCAUUAAGUGCCCCGCCUGGGGAGUACGGCCGCAAGGCUAAAACUCAAAGGAAUUGACGGGGGCCCGCACAAGCGGCGGAGCAUGCGGAUUAAUUCGAUGCAACGCGAAGAACCUUACCAAGGCUUGACAUGAACCGGUAAGACCUGGAAACAGGUCCCCCACUUGUGGCCGGUUUACAGGUGGUGCAUGGUUGUCGUCAGCUCGUGUCGUGAGAUGUUGGGUUAAGUCCCGCAACGAGCGCAACCCUCGUUCUAUGUUGCCAGCGGGUUAUGCCGGGGACUCAUAGGAGACUGCCGGGGUCAACUCGGAGGAAGGUGGGGACGACGUCAAAUCAUCAUGCCCCUUAUGUCUUGGGCUUCACGCAUGCUACAAUGGCCGGUACAAAGGGUUGCGAUACUGUGAGGUGGAGCUAAUCCCAAAAAGCCGGUCUCAGUUCGGAUUGAGGUCUGCAACUCGACCUCAUGAAGUUGGAGUCGCUAGUAAUCGCAGAUCAGCAACGCUGCGGUGAAUACGUUCCCGGGCCU